AUAAUUUAAAAUGAAACAAUGAGGUAUUAAUUGAUAAAUCAUUAAACUUAAAAAAAAUGGCGGUUUUUUAUUCUUAUUAGAGGAAUUUGUUUAUUAAUUUGAUAAUCCACGAUAGGAUGUACUUUAAAGAGAAGUUUAUAUAUUGUCGUUUAAAAAAUUUUUUAAGGAAUUUUUUUUGAAUUAUAUUAUUAUAAAAAAUUCAGAUCAAAAUGUAGCUUUUUUAAAGAUAAAAUGAAUUACAAUAAUAUUAAUAUUAUACGAAUUAAAUGAUUUAAAUCAUUUAUGAAGGUGGAUUUAAAAGUAAAAUUAAUUAAUUAAUUAAUUUGAAUAAGUUUUAAAAAAUGU
rnacentral:rRNA from 1 species